AAAUUAAAAGGUGAUGAGGUUCGCCUACGAACCACCCCGAUAAAUCGGGGUUGAUGACCUCUACUCUGAA
rnacentral:ncRNA from 2 species